rnacentral:rRNA from 1 species
GGUGGUGCAUGGCCGUUCUUAGUUGGUGGAGUGAUUUGUCUGGUUAAUUCCGAUAACGAACGAGACCUUAACCUGCUAACUAGAUCUUAUUAUCUUAUAAUUUGCAUCUUCUUAGAGGGACUAUGUAAUCUAAAUACAUGGAAGUUUGAGGCAAUAACAGGUCAGUGAUGCCCUUAUAUGUCCUGGGCUGCACGCGUGCUACACUGAUGCAUACAACAAGUGCCUAACCAGACAUGGUAUGGCAAUCUCGAAUAUGCAUCGUGAUGGGGAUAGAUCUUUGCAAUU